AACGAACGCUGGCGGCAUGCCUAACACAUGCAAGUCGAACGAGACCUUCGGGUCUUGUGGCGCACGGGUGCGUAACGCGUGGGAACCUGCCCUUGGGUUCGGAAUAACUCCCCGAAAGGGGUGCUAAUACCGGAUAAUGUCUUCGGACCAAAGAUUUAUUGCGUUUGGAUGGGCCCGCGUUGGAUUAGCUAGUUGGUAGGGUAAGAGCCUACUAAGGCGAGGAUGCAUAGCUGGUCUGAGAGAAUGAUCAGCCACACUGGGACGAAGACACGGCCGAGAAUCCUACGGGAGGCAGGAGAGGGGAAUAUUGGACAGUGGGCUAAGGCCUGAUCGUGCAAUGCCGGGUGAGUGAUGAAGGCCUUAGGGAAGUAAAGUUCUUGUACCCGGGAUGAUAAUGACGGUACCGGGAGAAUAAGCUCCGGCUAACUCCGUG
rnacentral:rRNA from 1 species